rnacentral:rRNA from 1 species
UACAGAGGUCUCAAGCGUUGUUCGGAUUCAUUGGGCGUAAAGCGUGUGUAGGUGGCGCGCUAAGUCGGGUGUGAAAUUUCGGAGCUUAACUCCGAAACUGCAUUCGAUACUGGCGUGCUUGAGGACUGGAGAGGAGACUGGAAUUCAUGGUGUAGCAGUGAAAUGCGUAGAGAUCAUGAGGAAGACCAGUGGCGAAGGCGGGUCUCUGGACAGUUCCUGACGCUGAGGCACGAAGGCCAGGGGAGCAAACGGG